UGAUCCCCAUGAAAUGUACCAAAAAAAAAAAAAGACUAAGUAUAAUCUUCCUGGAUUAGGGUUACUAAGACCCACCCCAUGAGCCAGGCCUGAUGGUGGUGUCUGCAGGUAAGUAUUGGGGUGACCGGGUCAUCCAUCCAUCCUGAAAUGGUGAAAAUAUUUCUCUUUCCGAUCAUCCCUGUAUGAACAAACACCCAUUACUGUCAAGUUGUAUAAAAAUAGCUUUUUUCAUGAACAUGUGAUUAUGCUUCAUGAGUCACACAUAGUAACACCUACAACACCUUGUAAAAGCAGUUUCUCUUUUGGGUAAAUCACCUUCCAGAGAGACAGAACCUGUUGUCAUUAUAAGGAUAUUGCUGAAAAAGUUACAAGGCACAGAUUAUUGUUUGAGAUCAGAUGGUUAUGACUUUGAAGAAUAAAACAAGGUUUGCCUUUUUAAAAAAUAAUGGCACCAGUAACACUACUGCCUUCACAAUAUUAUGUCUAUGGGUGCUGUUUAGUGGGAAUGGAGUCCAAAGUACAACACCAUUUACAACAGAAACCACAGAAAGGACAACUGAAUCCAAAUUACCAA